UGAGUUGGUUAGACAAUCGCUGGUUUAUUGAAGCCCUUAACCGUAGCAAUACGACCUAGUGGGACAAGUAAACGAGAGGAAAGUCCGAGCUACACAGGGCAGAGUGCCAGAUAACGUCUGGGAGGCGUGAGCCUACGACUAGUGCAACAGAGAGCAGACCGCCAGUUUCGGCUGGUAAGGGUGAAAGGGUGCGGUAAGAGCGCACCGCGUGAGUGGUAACAUUUCACGGCACGGUAAACUCCACUCGUAGCAAGACCAAAUAGGAAUCCAAUGGGUGGCCCGCUCAGGAUUCGGGUAGGUUGCUUGAGCGUAUGUGUGAAUGUACGCCUAGAGGAAUGAUUGUCCACGACAGAACUCGGCUUAUCGACCAACUCAUCUU
rfam:Actinobacillus minor NM305 Contig_154, whole genome shotgun sequence.